ACCCCAAGCUCCGAUCCCUCCCACUCCCUCCCUCUCCCAUCAGGCAGCCACAAGUCUAUUCUCCAAGUCCAUGAUUUUCUUUUCUGAGAUGUUCAUUUGGACUGGAUAUUAGAUUCCAGUUAUAAGUGAUAUCAUAUGGUAUUUGUCUUUGUCUUCCUGACUCAUUUCACUCAGUAUACGAGUCUCUAGUUCCAACCAUGUUGCUGCAAAUGGCAUUAUGUCAUUCUUUUUUAUGGCUGAGUAGUAUUCCAUUGUGUAUAUAUACCACAUUUUCCAAAACCAAUCAACUAUUGAUGGACAUUCUGGUUGUUUCCAUGUCCUGGCUAUUGUGAAUAGGGCUGCAAUGAACAUGUGGGUGCAUGUGUCUCUUCUAAGUAGAGUUUUGUCCAGAUAUGUGCCCUAGAGUGAGAUUGUAGGGUCAUAUGGAAGUUCUAUGUAUAGAUCUCUAAGGUAUUUCCAAACUGUUCUCCAUAGUGGCUGUACCAGUUUACAUUCCCACCAGCAGUGCAGGAGGGUUCCCUUUUCUCUACAGCCCCUCCAGCACUUGUUAUUUGUAAGCUUCUUAAUGAUGGCCUUUCUGACUGGUGUGAUGUGGUGUCUCAUGGUAGUUUUGAUUUGCAUUUCUCUUAUGAUGAGCGAUGAUGAGCAUUAUCUCAUGUGUUUGCUGGCCAUCUGUAUAUCUUCCUUGGAGAAAUGUCUAUUCAGGUCUUUUGCCCUUUUUCCCCUUGGUUGAUUGGCUGUUUUGCUGUUGAUUUGUGUAAGUUGCUUAUAUAUUCUAGAGAUUAAGCCCUUGUCCAUUGCAUCAUUUGAAACUAUUUUCUUCCAUUCUGAAAGUUGUCUUUUUGUUUUCCUUUUGGGUUUCCAUUGCUGUGCAAAAGCUUUUCAGUUUGAUUAGGUCCCAUGGGUUUAUUUUUGCUCUUAUUUCGAUUGCUUUGGGAGACUGGCCUGAGAAAAUAUUCAUGAGGUUGAUGUCAGAGAGUGUUUUGCCUAUGUUUUCUUCUAGGAGUUUGAUGGUGUCCUGUCGUAUAUUUAAGUCUUUCAGCCAUUUUGAGUUUAUUUUUGUGCAUGGUGUGAGGGUGUGUUCUAGUUUCUUUGCUUUGCAUGCAGCUGUCCAGGUUUCCUAGCAAUGCUUGCUGAAUCAUGUCAUCUGCAUACAGUGACAGUUUUAUAUCUUCUCUUCCUAUAUGGACGCCUUUUAUUUCUUUUUUUUGUCUGAUUGCUGUGACUAGUACUUCCAAAUCUAUGUUGAAGAGCAUUGGUGGGAGUGGGCAUCCCUGUCUUGUUCCAGAUUUGAGUGAGAAGGCUUUCAGGUUUCCGCAUUGAGUAUUAUAUCUGGUGUGGGUUUGUCAUAAAUGGCUUUGACUGUAUUCAGGAAUGUUCCCCUAUACCCACUUUGGUGAGGGACUUGAUCAUGAAUGGAUGUUGGACUUUGUCAAAUGCUUUUUAUGCGUCUCUUGAGAUGAUCAUAUGAUUUUUUACUUUUCUUUUGUUAAUGUGGUGUAUGACAUUGAUUGAUUUGUGUAUGUUGAACCAUCCUUCCUGGGAUGAACCCUACCUGGUCAUGGUGUAUUAUUUUUUUUAUAUGUUGUUGGAUUGGGUUGGCUAAGAUUUGUUGAGAAUUUUUGCAUCUAUGUUAAUCGAAGAUAUUGGCCGAUAGUUUUCUUUUUGGUGGUAUCUCUGCCUGGUUUUGGAAUGAGGGUGAUGGUGGCAUCAUAGAAUGUCUUUGGGAGUAUUCCUUCUUCUUCAACCUUUUGAAAGAGUUUAAGGAGAAUGGACACCAGUUCGUCUUUAUAUGUUUGAUAGAAUUCACCAGUGAAGCCAUAUGGUCCUGGACUUUUAUUUGUAGGGAGUGAUUUUAUGACCUCUUCAAUUUCAUUUCUAGUGAUCCAGUGAUGGUUCUGUUCAGUUGGUCUGUUUCUUUUUGAUUCAGUUUUGGCAGGCUGUAAGAUUCUAGAAAAUUCUCCAUUUCUUCCAGAUUGUCAAAGUUGUUGCCAUACAGUUGUUCAUCGUAUUCUCUUAUGGUUUUUUGUAUUUCUGCUGUAUCCGUUGUGAUUUCUCCUUUUUCAUUUCUAAUUUUGGUUAUUUGGGUUCUUUCUCUCCUCUUUUUAGUGAGUCUGGCCAGGGGUUUGUCAAUUUUGUUCACCUUUUCAAGGAACCAGCUCUUGGUUUUAUUAAUUUUCUCCAUUGUUUUUUGAAUCUCUAUUUCAUUGAUUUCUUCUUUGAUCUUUAUAAUUUCCUUCCUUCUGCUGACUUUAGGUCUUUUUUUUUUCUUCUUUUUCUCAUUCGUUUAGUUGGAGGAUUAAGUUGUCAAUUUGGGAUGUUUCUUCUUCUUUGAGAAAGGACUCUAUUGCUAUAAAUUUCCCUCUGAGCACUGCAUUCACAGCAUCCCAUAGAUUUUGAGAGGUUGUGUCUUCAUUAUCAUUUGUUUCAAGGUAUUUUUUAAUUUCCUUCUUGAUUUCCUCAUUGACCCAUUGGUUUUUUAGUAGCAUGUUGUUUAGUCUCCAUGUACUAGGUUUUUUCUCAUUUCUUUUCCCGUGGUUGAAUUCUAGUUUCAUGGCAUUGUGGUCAGAAAAGAUACUUGAGAUAACUUCUAUGUUCCUCAAUUUGUUGAGGUUAGCUUUGUGUCCCAAUAUGUGGUCGAUUCUUGAGAAUGUUUCAUGUGCAUUUGAGAAGAAUGUGUAUUCUGAUUUUUUUGGAUGUAGUGUCCUGAAGAUAUCAAUUAAGUCUAACGUUUCUAUUGUUUCCUCUAGGAACUCUGUUGCUUUAUUGGUUUUCUCUCUAGAGCAUCUGACAAUUUGUGUGAGGGGGGUAUUAAAGUCUCCUACUAUUAUUGUAUUCACAUCAAUAUCUCUCUUUAUGUCUUGUAACAUUUGUUGUAUGUAUAUGUAUACUCCUGUAUUUGGGGCAUAUAUGUUGAUGAUAGUAGCAUCCUCUCCUUGGAUGGAUCCCUUAAUCAUUAAGUAGUGUCCUUAUUUGUCUUUCUUUAUGUCUUUUGUUUUAAAGUCUAUUUUGUCUGAUAUGAGUAUUGCAACUCCUGCUUUUCUGUCAUGUCUACUGCCACGAAAUAUUUUUUCCCACCCCUUCACUUUCAAUCUAUAUGUAUACUUUGUCCUAAGGUGAGUUUCUUGUAGACAGCAAAUAGAAGGUUUUUGCCUUUUUUAUACACUCAGCCACUCUGUGUCUUUUGAUUGGGGCAUUCAGCCCAUUGACAUUUAAGGUGAUAAUUGAUAGAUGAUUAUUUAUUGCCAUUUUGAACCUCAUGUUCCAGUUGAUGCUAUGGUUCUCCACUCUUCCUUUCGUUUUUUGGUUGGAUGGUCUCUGGUUAUUAUCUGCUUGAGUGUUUUUUGUUUUUGUUUUUUUUCAUUUUUUGUGAAUACAAUGUUUGGUUUUGGCUUGUGGUUUCCCUGUUUUUUCAGUAUGCUAACCCCUGCUAUAAUUGUGUGUUUUAGCCUGAUGGUCCUGUAGGUUCAAACACUUCAUUACUAUCUAAAAUUAAGAAGAGAAACAAAAAAGGGGUUCUAUUUAUUUCCUAACAUCCCUUGUCCACAUUUUGUGAUUUUGAUGACUCUUUUUUUAUUUUUAAUUUAAAUUUAUUUGAAUUUUCAAGUGUGCCCUGAGUCAGUAAGACAAAAAUCAGCUCACAUGUCUAAGGUUACACCUGUUCAAAUUCCAAAUUAUCUUAUUUUUCUUGUGACUUUUGUACAAAUGUUGUUUGAAUCACAUCCAUCCAUCCAGAAGUAAAGGUGGUCUCUCAUCUGAUAAUCAGCUUUCCUUAUUUUUUCAUAACUUUUUUUAUUUUGAAACGUGUCAGCCUUACAGAAGAGUCUGAAGGAUAAUGCAAAUUGGCAAAUAUAGUAAACAAUCACUCAAUCGUACCACUUACCUAUAUAUACCAACUGGAAUUAUUACAUUUGCUGUAUCACUCUCUCAGUCUCUCACUCAUCUCAUUUAUAUAUAGACAGAAAAUUCUAAUGGCAUACAGAACUUAAAAUCUAUUUUAUUCCUCUUAAUUUAUCUUACUAGUGUCACAGGUACAAAAUCCCCCACUCAUGUAAACCCUUUCUUUUUAAAAUAUACAUAGUUUUGUAAAUGAAAAAUAAAUGUAUAUACAUAUAUGUAUUUAAGCAUAAUAAUGAUAUAAUAGGUAUUCAUACUUUCUCAAAUUUUGAGAGCUAAUAUUCGGUAGCAUAUUCAUAAUACUCUGUAAGCUCUAGUCAAUGUGCUAUAUCACAUAGUUUUGCUUUGCAGAAUUUUGACUCAUGUUAUUUAUAGUUUGAGAUCCUUGAACUUGACAGAAUCAUGCACCUUUAUAUACUUUUCCUUUCUUAUAGAAUUUCUGCUCUUAACAGAUGAUAAAAUUAGUAAACACUAUGUUUACAUCUACCCUGUAUCUAAAUUUAUAUACAUAGAGCUAGCUAGUUAGCUAUCAUUAUCUAUCUCAUUUGCCUACCUAUCUAGCUAUGAAACUUUGAAGUGGUAUGUUUAUUCUCUCUCUACAAGUAAAGAAAUUGAGUUAAGGGAGUUUAAGUAUCAUGUUUGCUGUUAUAGAAUUAGUCACACUCUCUUUUUAUAUGUUUUGGGACUUUCUUUGCUCUCAUCUUGAGUUCAACCUUGGAAACUGUGUGCUUGAAGAUAAUACAUAUAUCAGAGGUCUCUGAAUGUGUUACCGUGUUUUGUUCACUCCCUGUUGAAAUAAUUUUGGCAUCAUCUUUGACUCCUCUCUUUCCCUCACCCUCUUGCCAGGAUGAACAUGAAAAUAAAUCCUGUGUUUGAUUUUCUCAUGUUUCCCUAACAUGAGAAACAGCUCUGGCCUAACAUGCCAUCAAUUCCUGGCUUACUUGUUAUGCAGCCUCCUGUCUGGGCCUCUGCCUGCCACUCUUGCCAUUUUCUGGUCUAUCAUCAAUACUUCACCACAGUGAGCUUGUUAAGAUGUGAGUUGGAUCCUGUCUCUCGUUUGUCUGACUCCCUCCUGUGUAUUUUUCUUCACUUGUAUUCAAACCCCAUGCAUAUACCAGUCAUAUUCUGGACCCCAUUUCCUCUCUGGCAACAUCUCUUACUUCAAUUCUUCUCUCUUUCUUCAGUUCUCAGCUUUCUGUUAGCUCCCGAACAUUCUAGGAAACCUCUCGUCUCUUUUUCACUGUUCUUGGUUAUAUACACUUCCUAUAAAUUUCCUUUAGCAAUUCUAAUGACGGGAAGAUAUUACAUCUAUUUUUUCUCUUAUCUAACUUAUCUGACUAAUGACACAGGCUCAAAACUUCCCAAUCAUAUAAUGUUUUAGUUUCUAAAAAAAAAAAAAA
rnacentral:lncRNA from 1 species